GACGUAGGGCGCGAGCGUUGUCCGGAUUUAUUGGGCGUAAAGAGCUCGUAGGCGGCUUGUCGCGUCGUCCGUGAAAACCUGCGGCUCAACUGCAGGCUGGCGGUCGAUACGGGCAGGCUGGAGUUCGGUAGGGGAGACUGGAAUCCCUGGUGUAGCGGUGAAAUGCGCAGAUAUCAGGAGGAACACCGGUGGCGAAGGCGGGUCUCUGGGCCGAUACUGACGCUGAGGAGCGAAAGCGUGGGGAGCGAACAGG
rnacentral:rRNA from 1 species